GACAGCACGUUCAGUCUUACCGACGUCGGCAAUUGGAGGGCACCAGCGGCAAAGUGUCGGUUGGGGUUUUUCCCCUGCACACAGAAUAAAAGUAGGUGGGUAAACGAUCGGCGCGAUGAGUCUGCAGCCCACUACUCUCCGGAAAUCGGCAGAAGAACCGCGAGCAACCUUUAUGCCGACCGCGCCUCUUUUUUUCUUCACUAGAUCUACGCAGUUGUUGGUCCACAUCAAGCCGGCAGUGUAAGCGCGAAGGUAAAUACGAUGAAGGCAUGGCUUGGUGGCCUCCAGAACCUUUUACAGCCCACGUGAUCAAAUAGCUUGUGCGCGCAUUUCGGCCACGGAAGUGUUGUUGUUCCCCAGUGGUUCUCUAACCUGUUAGCAACUCAGAAAGUUUAUUAAAACGGUUUCCCAGCAUCAAAAUGUCUGGUUGUUGCGUUUGGUUGCACUAAUAUAAUAUACUAAUAUACGUAUAUAUCUGGCCACUUUAUAUUUGGCCAUCUGCUAAUGUCUUCUAUCCACUCCACUAUAGUACACGGAUCUGGUAGAUGUGUUGAAAAAGUUGAUAAGUCAACUUUUUAAAAUAACUUUGUCUGUGUUACUUCACUGCUGAUUCUUACCAUACUUCCGUUGCCAAACUGCGUGCACCUACGUUGCCACAUCAUCAUUGUGUACAAAGAGUAAAAGGGUCUAUAAAGACUCAUACAAAAUACUCCAAAGUUUUUUCAAGAGGACAUCACCCAACCCAUCUAAAGGAUGGAAACAAUACUCUUGUUGAAUACUACAUGAGACAAACCAUCCUGACAUAGAUCACCAUCACCACUAUCAUCCCCUGCAUCGUGCCCUUCAUCAGACACCCAAAAUGCACCACAAACAUCACAGGCGAAAAAGAAGAAAACGCACAACAAACCUUCCAAAAAACCCUCCUCCCCCUUCCCUCCUACCUAUGGCUGGAAACAACAUAACAGUUG